AUAUACUUUUAAGUUUUUACAUUUAUAAAAGAUAUUUUUCACGUAUCAGUGAAAUAAUAAUAAAAAUAUUACAGAAGAAGAUGUGAACAAAAUUAAGGAUGCAUUUGAUAUUUUAUGUAAAAAUCUAUCCAACAUUUUUAAUCGUAUUAAAAAUUUAUGGUAAUACAUAUUAGCAAUAUAUUACAAAUGUAAAAACCAUUGAAUGACGAGGCUUACAAAAAAAUGGGAAUCCUACAGGCGCGAAGAUUAUCUUGAACAUUAGAAUAAGUUAAAACGUUUACAAAAAGUACAACAAGCAAAACAGGAUCUCAAAGCAAAAAAAAAGUUGUUCUUCUUUUUUGAUAAUGAACAUAAACAUGGCCUAGUUAAAGAAGAAAAAAUAAAACAAAUGAAGAAGAUUGUAAUGAAGACAAACCCCUUAAAGAUGAUUUAAAAUAAUAUUAUGUAGGUACCACCAGAAAUCAGGAAACCCGGUUUUUUUAAUUGACAAUAAAAAUAAAAUUUGAAA